GCCGGGGUGGCGGAAUCGGUAGACGCUCUGGACUUAAAAUCCAGUGGGAUGAAACUCCCGUGCCGGUUCGAGUCCGGCCCUCGGUA
rnacentral:tRNA from 1 species